rnacentral:lncRNA from 1 species
UCACCCCCCUUGGCUGUCCCACCCCUCCCUAGACCCCUCAACAUUCAGGCUGGUAAAAUGAGGCUGCAGUGAAGAGUCCUGGGCUCUGAGGAUGGGAGGCUCAUUGUUGCUGGGAGCAGAAAAGCUGGCCCACUGUUGACACAUGGUCUCCAGCUCCUCUUCCACCCUCAAAGUUUAAUUCCUCUGAACCUGCUCCUUCCCCACCCUUCUAGGAGAGCAACCCUGAAUUGAUCACUGCCAUUUUGACAUUCUUCUUUUCUUUAUUUUUCUAAUGUGAGAUUCUGAAACCUCUUCUUACCACCCCACACAAUUGGGUUAGCCCCAGAUCCUGCCUUAGGGCACAAAGAUUUGCCUCUCAGAAUUCCUUCCUUGCCUUUUUUAAAGGCCUGACCAGGGUCUUUGUGGUUGGAAUGGGGGUGUGUUAGGAGUGGCGAUGGGAGGCUGGAGUGCGAAAGCUACAAGCAAGGGCAAUAAACUGGGGGCCCACUGGGGCAGAUGUCUUAAUGGAGAGAGCAGAGAUGAAGAGAAAAUCCCUCAGCAGGUUGAGAGUGACUUCUGCAGGCUCAGGGCACAAAGCGAGAUCUCUUUGCACAGAAUUUCGAUCAUCCUUGCUACUUAAGACCCCCAAAAUGGUGGAACCCAGGGGUACAGAGAGCUAAGGAAGGAAAACUCCAUACUUGAGAUGCCUUCUUGAGCCAGCAGUGGCAGUAGUGGUGGUGGAGGCAACAGUUAGAUGAACUGACUGGUCCUGACCACACAGUGUCAAAAUAGAGAAUGGAGAGCAGGUCUGCUGUUUACCAAAGAAGACCGAAACAUGGCCCACGUGUCCAAUCCUUGCUUGGAGGAGGAGCCGGGAGGAUACCCUUGAUGAACUGCUCUCAGAUUGUUGGUCUAUGAAGGAGGUUAAUACAUGUCAGUUUGACAUUGUAUCAUUGAAUCAGAAUUGAACAUCAGAAAGAGUAAAAUUCCCAGGCCUUUUUUACCCUAGCCUGGGUACAAGCUCAAGAUGAUGCAGAAGGAGGAGCAAAGCAUGGGAUCCAAGAAAGUUAAGUUCCAGCUCAGGUCGAAGAGAAUCAUGUCUGUGAUCUGUGUCUUUGGUUUCUUCAUCUACAGCUGUCAUCUUGUGGGCUGGAGCAUGGUGGCCAGGAAGUGUGCAAGGGGCUCUGGUGUCCAUGCAGCCCUCAUAGACCUGAGGAGGUCAAUGCAUAUCGACCAUCCUGUGGCAGUUUAUCCAGUCUUUUGUCCUCUAGCUGCAUUUGUUUAUCUUAUUGGAUGUAAGAAAAGCUACAUCCUUUUCUUCUCUUCACCACCAAGACUUCCUGGGCUGGUCAGCGGACAAGGAGAAGGUUUACCUAAUCUCUCAAAAUAAAGAAAUGGAAACCUAGUCCUAGUGUGUGCCUCACAAAGGACGCACCUUGUGCUCCUUGCCAAGGCAUAGCCCAGGUAGCUCUGAUCUUUUGAUACCACCAGUUCCCAGGUGGUGGUGCUAGAAACACAUCAGUGGUUUGGGGCCGGACAGUGGAUGAUGGAUGGGGGUUCUUACCUACACAGGCAGUAGUGUCAGCUUAAAGUUUAUUUAAGAAAUUCUGCCUGCUAAACUUAAACAAAAAGACUUUAAGCUGUGGAAAUUGUAGAGAAAAAUAUAUUCUACAUACCUACAAUGCAAAGAGCUUGAGAAAAAUUUAGGCCCAGGAGAAGAGUUUAAUAACAAGAUUUAGAACAAGAACCAGAAGCUCUACUCUUUGUUUCAGUCUGAAAUCAACCAGCAGGUACAUUCCUGUGCACAGUGAAGGGACCCAGGAACCUAUAAUCUUGACUAGGCAAAAGGGAAGUGGGUGCAAUUUGGGGGGACCUUCCCAAUCCUACUAUAAAAUUAGUUCUUAUCCUUUCUCUUCCAUCUCCACUCUUGAUUGUUCUUGAAAUUUUUUAUCCUUCAGGUAUAUUUUUCAAUUGACUAUGAUGUGGUUUUGCCUCCAUGGAAAUAAGGGAGAGGCUAUUGUGUGGCUGGUGGGAGGAGAACUGGGAUAUAAUAUGAUUAGAUUCAAACUUCCAUAAUCACUGAAUAUGAUUAGCUCCCAAGGAAACUCCUGCCAGUUGCACUUAGGAACCCAAGGAAGAAACCCAGAUAGGAACCCAGGAGACAUCCUCUGCUCUGCCUUCUUCCUCAGCUUCCACAAGCCUGCACAUAAUUCAAGGCUGUCCCUUAUGAAGACAUACAUUCAAUACAUCAUCCCACAUGCCCUCUGUGCCUAAUAGAAGCCCUCGUCAGAUCAGCCUAAUGGUUCAUGCAGCACAUGUGUGUCCCCACUGCUGCAGGAGACAACCGAGGAGGCUUCUCUAGUGAGCCUCAGUGUCUUAUUCUCUUUGUCUUCAGGUUUUAUAAACUAGAUGCUUUCUAGCUGUUGUUGUCAAUGGUUGUUGAAUAAUGGUACAGAACUCAAUUUAGCAGUGCUAAAUUGGUUCUGAUUAAUGAUUAUUGAAUUAAAGGUCAGAACUUAAUUUAGCUGGAUAGUUAAACAACAGGCAUAAAUAAAACCCACAAGUAAGCUGAGACCAAGGAGAAUGUCCUCAACCCUUUGAGACUUGUGCUACUGUGGUGUGUUGUGCUCUGAGACCCUGGAGACCUGGCCUACAAUCAUGCCCUAGACCAGUGGUUGUCAAAGUGUGGUGUGGGAACCUUGGGGUCCCUGAGAUGCAUUCAGUAGGGUCAGUGAGAUCAAAACAAUUUUAAUCAUAAUGCUGACAUUAUUUGACUUUUUUACUCAUAUUUUUUCAUUAGUCUAUGGUAGAAUUUUCCGGAGAGUAGAUGAUAUGCAAUGACAUCAUCACUCUGCCAGCUAGUGCAAUAUCUACUUAUGUAAAAUGUGUUAUUUUCUAGUUUUAAUUUUUAAUACAAGAAAUAUCAAUAGAUGUAAAUCACAUGAAUAAAAUCUACUUAGGGUCCUUAAUAAUCUUAAGUGUGUAAAUUAUUUUCAAGGCCAAGUAGUGUGAGAACUGCUGCAGUAAUAACUGUCUCUGGGGUCCAUCCCCAACAGACUGGGCUCUGUGCAGAGCCAGGCUCACAAUUCUGGUCCCAGAUGCUGAGCACUCACACAUCUAUGAACCUUGCAGGGCCUGUCACAUGCUCAUCCCUCCUGCAGCCCUGACACUGAUGGCUCCUUUGUGUACUCUCCUCACCUUCCUU